rnacentral:rRNA from 1 species
GACGAACGCUGGCGGCGUGCUUAACACAUGCAAGUCGAACGGUGAACCUCUUCGGAGGGGAUCAGUGGCGAACGGGUGAGUAACACGUGGGCAACCUGCCCCCGGCUCUGGGAUAACUCCAAGAAAUUGGGGCUAAUACCGGAUGUUCACCGCUUCCCGCAUGGGUGGUGGUGGAAAGGGUUUCCGGCUGGGGAUGGGCCCGCGGCCUAUCAGCUUGUUGGUGGGGUAGUGGCCUACCAAGGCGACGACGGGUAGCCGGCCUGAGAGGGUGACCGGCCACACUGGGACUGAGACACGGCCCAGACUCCUACGGGAGGCAGCAGUGGGGAAUAUUGCGCAAUGGGCGGAAGCCUGACGCAGCGACGCCGCGUGGGGGAUGACGGCCUUCGGGUUGUAAACCUCUUUCAGCAGGGACGAAGCGCAAGUGACGGUACCUGCAGAAGAAGCACCGGCCAACCACGUG